CGUCAUGGAGGUUCUCCAUGUGCAUGCCAGACUUUCAUCUCGAGAGUCAUUGUUGCUACAGGGAAAACAUAAGUCUUCACACAUCUAGAAUAAGCAGUGCGUUUCAUCUACCCAUCAGCGAGGCUACCAUCACACAUGAGGACGUGGAGGUUAUUUUUGGGCUGUAUGUUGAUGGUAUACUAGUAUCUUACCUGCAUGCUCUUA
rnacentral:lncRNA from 1 species